rnacentral:rRNA from 1 species
AUUGAACGCUGGCGGCAUGCCUUACACAUGCAAGUCGAACGGCAGCACGGGAGCAAUCCUGGUGGCGAGUGGCGAACGGGUGAGUAAUAUAUCGGAACGUGCCCAGUCGUGGGGAUAACGUAGCGAAAGUUACGCUAAUACCGCAUACGAUCUAAGGAUGAAAGCGGGGGAUCGCAAGACCUCGCGCGAUUGGAGCGGCCGAUAUCAGAUUAGGUAGUUGGUGAGGUAAAGGCUCACCAAGCCGACGAUCUGUAGCUGGUCUGAGAGGACGACCAGCCACACUGGGACUGAGACACGGCCCAGACUCCUACGGGAGGCAGCAGUGGGAAUUUUGGACAAGUGGGCGCAAGCCUGAUCCAGCAAUGCCGCGUGCAGGAUGAAGGCCUUCGGUUGUAACGUACUUUUCUAGGUAGGAAAAAAGUAAG